UAGGAAAUAUGGUUAGAUCUUAGAUGAUUGCAGAUUUUAUUUCUUGAAGAACAACCUCGGCUUUAUGUUGGUGUUGAAUGUUGCUCAACUUUGAAUCAACAAGAGGCAGUCUGUACACUUGACUGAUUGUCUGCUUUGGGAUUGGUCGAAGUAUAUAUUGGAAUUGUGAGAAGAUUGGCCAAAGUCUGAAGAUCAUUCAUUUGCAAUGACGCAUCAAUCAGAUAUUCAUAUGUUAUAUGAAGUGAAGCUUUUACAACGAGAGGAAAAAUGACAAUUUGCUGCAGAUUGUUAUUGCGAUAAAAUUAUUCCAAAGAGAAUGAGUUGGAGAUGCGCACUGCAGUGCCUCAAACUACAGAUUCUCUUAUAAGCUCAAAUCCCUUGGGCUUAUGUAAGUCCAAUGAACAUGGAUAUAACCCUUGAAAAUGGUGGUUCGUGGGUGUCUCUACUUAUAUUAGAAGCUCAUUGUUGACAGGGUGAGGGGAGGUCUACAUACCUGACUGAUUGGAUGGUGGUAUUGGUCGCAAUUCAUACCUGACUGAUUGGAUGUCUAGAGAAACAAUGUUGGUAAUAGUUAUUUGGCAUUGAAUUUUGAGCAACAUUGUGAAGCCAUGGUGGUUUUGAGCUGCAAAAUGACGAUAAAGUAUGUGACGACCUUGGGAAGAAUAUCUUGCUUUCUUACAUGUAAGCUGCUUUAAUAAUUUGUUGCUGCAAAUAUUUUUUUUUUUCUUUGAAGGACUUUUGUCAUUCCAACCAAAGAUUAUAAUAUAUGCAUUUCCAAUUCUUGCAGCUCUCAAAGAGGAGAUAUACUUAGGUGAUCACAGAUUUUAUAAAUUAACCUUGGCCUAUGUCGUUUUGCAAUCCAAGUUACUAGAUUUACAUAUUUCUUCCUUUUCAAUGUCUUGUAAUGAAUUGCUUUACAACCCUUAAUAAAGGGGAGAAAAAUAGAGGGGGAUAUUGACUUGAAAAUAUCUGCCCUCUUGUAUUUCAGAGAAACUCCCUAGCUAAUUGGUGCUGAAUGCUGUUCAGUUUUGAAUCAAACCAGGGGCGGCCUGUAAACUUGACUGAUAGUCUGGUUUGGCAUUGGUCGAAGUAUAUAUUGCCUUAAGGUUGUUAUAUAUUGUGAUAAAUUAUUCCAAAGAGAAUGAGUUGGAGAUGCACUCUGCAGUUUUUUGCAGUGCCUCAACAGCCUCAAACCAGAGAUCUCCUUAUAAGCUCAAAACCCUUGGGCUUAUGUAAGUCCAAAUGAACAUGUACGUUCACUUGAAUUUGGUUGUUUUUACGUUGAUUCUGAUUUUAAAUUUUUUGCAAUGAUGCAAAAGAGAUUUCUCAUGUUACAUGAAAUGACACACUUAAAGCUUAAUCCAGGUUGUUAUUGUGAUAAAAUUAUUCCAAAGUGAAGUUGGAGAUGGUAGAAAAUUUGUGAUUUUCUUACAAAAAAAUAAAAAUAAGUGGCUGCAGCAACUGAAUAUCUUUGUACCAGAUAAAUUUCCGAUUUUUGCAGUGCCUCAAACCAGAGAUGCCUCUUGUAAGCUCAAAAUCCUUGGGCUUAUGUAAGUCCAAUGAGUUUGGUUUUAUGAACAUGUACUUACGUUCACUUGAAUGUGGUUUUCAAUAGUUCUUUACGUUGAUUCUUAUUUUAUGGCUUGUUCUGCUAUAUUCUA